rnacentral:snoRNA from 1 species
AAACUUUGCCAAGUCGUUGAAUGCUCAGAGAAAUCUGAGUUUUAUGAUUCCACUUGUAUAGGAAGAUCUGAUGA